GAACAUUUCCAAAAACUAGUGAGCUUCUCAUCCUUUUGUUAUUCCCCUUUUUCUCCCAAUAGCCAUAGUUCCUGUCUGCCUCUAUACCAUCCCCAUAGGCUGUUCACUUCGUCACUCUUUACCGUCCCGAUCGACACUCUCUACACUCCAUUCACUUCGUCCCCUGUUCUCCCUCUGCCGCCAGUUCGGCUACUUCCAUUUGUUUGAUCUUUUAUUUUGAGAGAGAGAGAGGGAGAGAGAGAGAGAGCAUGGAAGUCAUUUGUUUGAUCUUUUAUUUUCAUCUCCUUCUGCUUUCAAGGAACGAGAUUGAUUUUGCCAAGCUUGGAUGGAGCUUAGAUUAUGUUCCUGAUAUCAUAUAAUGGAUCAUUUUUGUUGUUAUCUCUCAGCUUUUCUGUCUAAAACUCUUGAUAAAGCUUGUAUUGUCGGAUUUGCAGCCUUGGUAACCACUGGGAAUAAGAACUUUGAAGCCAAAUUGGUGGGUAUUGAAUCAACUCACAAUGAAGCAUAAUCACGAUUGGAGUAAUAGUUUACUUGAAGCCAGUUUGGCCAAAUUUUAAUGUAGCAGGUUGAAGCUCAAUUUUCAACUUGUUCUGGUUGAAGGAUUUAAUGACACAAAUAAUUUAUAUUUGUUGUUUCUAAUGUAUUAUUAAUUUAUAUAUAUAUAUUUAUAUAUAUUUGAGUUUUAAAGGCAUUAUUGUCCUAUGUUGAGUGCCAGGACUAAUAAUAAAAAAACAAAGCCUUUUGUUUUACUUUUUUGUUUUCAAACAUAUAGAAUUGGUUGUGCCCAGCAUAUCCAUAAGCUAUAUCUUCAUCUGGUCAUUGUUAAACAAACUCAAGUACUUGCUAAGUCUAGAGAGGAACUACAACUCGUCGAACUCUCACACAUGCAGGUGUGCAAGCAUAGUUAUAUGUUUUGUUUCUAAAUUUUGAAUUGUAGGCAUUUUAAUAAUUAUUAAGAUGUAAUUGGUGUUUUAAGUAUAUGGUUCUACUAUUUCUUUGAUACUGAGCAUAUGGUACCAAUGUUUCUUGGUGUUUUAAGUAUAUGAGAUCAAUACUCCAUUUGAAUUGGAAAUGUUAACUUCAAAUUUCUAUUCAUAUUGAUGAACAUUUCUUGGUGGGAUUUGUUUUGAGUGGGUGAAGUCUGCUAAGUAUGAGGCCUCCUUUCAGUCAGUAACCCUUGAUUGAGGAUAAUUAGUGUAUACACUAAACAACAUUGCCUGUUUUUAAUUUUCUGUAUCAUGAUUGAUACACAUUUCAAGAUUUUUGAAAGCAAAAAUGAAAACAAAAAUGUUACCAAAUGCAACUAUUUCCUCAUCAUCAUAUAUGGAAAUUGCUACAUGAGGAUUAGUUUAAUGGAGAAUAUAACUCUCAACUGAAUGCUAUUUUAUCUAAAAUCUCAUUGAUCACGCCUCUAGAAGUCUUUUGCUGGAAAGUCUAAGUUGAAAACAUGUAACAGUAUGCCAUUUAUGUGGAGAACUAAUUAUAAUUGGAAAAUGCAUUCACUUGACACUUCACAGAGGUCCUUCAUUUUAGUGCUUCCUGUUGAGAGUCCAUUUAAGCCUCAGCAUUACGUUCUGUUUACCAAUUGAAAGAUCAAGUAAUAACUCAAUUAGUUCUUCUGGUGAGCAUAAUGCUUCAAAUCACUUCACUCAUACAUACAAAGGCACCCACAUUCAUGUUUAUGAAUCUAUUUAGUGGUAGAAAUUCUAGAUUUUAUAAAUUACAGAUACGUUAAAACAUUUCCAUGUUUUUUCUUUUCUUUUUUAUGUGGACAGUUUUAAUUCUUGAUGAUUGAUGAAGAUCUUUUAAUUAGAAUGAUUAAAAUUUGUUUUCUUGAAAUAAGAGUGUCAAAAUGUAGGUUUUGAGAAAAGUUUAUAUACGUAAUGGGGGGGAUUGUUUUGUUUUUAGACUAACUUAGAAUUAUUCUUCAAAUUAACAAGAUUUUGUUUGGUUUUUCAUCUUAUUUUUGUAUUGUGUUUAGGAAUGUGCUUUGAUCUCUAUUGUUUAGAAUUGGUAUUUGCAAGGUUUUGGGGUAGGUCCAAAGCUGUCUUUUGCUUUCAAUUCUAUAGCUAGGUCACAAGCACAUGAUGAAGAGGUUAGGGGCCUUAAAGAAGAGGUAGCAUCACUAAAAGGGAUAAUUCAAUCAUAUGCAGGACGCUUUGAGCAGUUCGAACACUUUAUGAGGCAAAUGUAGGGCAAUCAUAGUGGAUAUGACUCUUUUGAUGAGUAGUUAGAGGUGUUGCCAUGCAUGUUUAUGGACCUGAGUUUGCCAGUGCAUUAAUUUUAAGUUGUGCUUAUACGUGGAGUUUUUGAUAUGUUUCGCAUCGGACAAAUAUGACAUGCACUUGGAUAUUAAUGAUUUUUGAUAUCUUUGAUGGUUUUGGUAAAUAUGUUUUUGAUGUAAAUUCGUUGUAAACUAAAUGAAUGGAUGGUUAUUUUAGA